rnacentral:rRNA from 1 species
GAUGAACGCUGGCGGCGUGCCUAAUACAUGCAAGUCGAGCGAACGGACGAGAAGCUUGCUUCUCUGAUGUUAGCGGCGGACGGGUGAGUAACACGUGGAUAACCUACCUAUAAGACUGGGAUAACUUCGGGAAACCGGAGCUAAUACCGGAUAAUAUUUUGGACCGCAUGGUUCAAAAGUGAAAGACGGUCUUGCUGUCACUUAUAGAUGGAUCCGCGCUGCAUUAGCUAGUUGGUAAGGUAACGGCUUACCAAGGCAACGAUGCAUAGCCGACCUGAGAAGGUGAUCGGCCACACUGGAACUGAGACACGGUCCAGACUCCUACGGGAGGCAGCAGUAGGGAAUCUUCCGCAAUGGGCGAAAGCCUGACGGAGCAACGCCGCGUGAGUGAUGAAGGUCUUCGGAUCGUAAAACUCUGUUAUUAGGGAAGAACAUAUGUGUAAGUAACUGUGCACAUCUUGACGGUACCUAAUCAGAAAGCCACGGCUAACUACGU